AACGAACGCUGGCGGCAUGCCUAACACAUGCAAGUCGAACGCCUGUAGCAAUACAGGAGUGGCGCACGGGUGAGUAACGCGUGGGAACCUGUCCUGGAGUGGGGGAUAACCGAGGGAAACCUCGGCUAAUACCGCAUACGACCUGAGGGUGAAAGAUUUAUCGCUCUAGGAGGGGCCCGCGUCGGAUUAGCUAGUUGGUGAGGUAACGGCCCACCAAGGCUAUGAUCCGUAGCUGGUCUGAGAGGAUGAUCAGCCACACUGGGACUGAGA
rnacentral:rRNA from 1 species